rnacentral:rRNA from 1 species
CCUACGGGAGGCAGCAGUGGGGAAUAUUGCACAAUGGGGGAAACCCUGAUGCAGCAACGCCGCGUGAAGGAAGACGGUUUUCGGAUUGUAAACUUCUGUUCUUAGUGAAGAAUAAUGACGGUACCUGACUAAGAAGCCCCGGCUAACUACGUGCCAGCAGCCGCGGUAAUACGUAGGGGGCAAGCGUUAUCCGGAUUUACUGGGUGUAAAGGGAGCGUAGACGGCAGUGCAAGUCUGAAGUGAAAGGCAAGGGCUCAACCCUUGGACUGCUUUGGAAACUGUGCUGCUGGAGUGUCGGAGAGGCAAGUGGAAUUCCUAGUGUAGCGGUGAAAUGCGUAGAUAUUAGGAGGAACACCAGUGGCGAAGGCGGCUUGCUGGACGAUGACUGACGUUGAGGCUCGAAAGCGUGGGGAGCAAACAGGAUUAGAUACCCUUGUAGUC